rnacentral:lncRNA from 1 species
UGUUUUCUAAUUUAAUUUAAUUCAAAGCUUUUAUUUAGUUGAAAUAGAUCUCUUAUCACCACGGUCAAACAAAUUUCUACUUAAUAUUUUUUGGAUAUUGUUUUCAGUUUUUCUUUCUUCUUACUAUGUUUUGAAAUUAUUGGUAUUGAAUUUUCUUCAUUCAUUGGAUCCUUUGCCUUUCAUUAUUGGUGGUGAACACUUUGACUAUUGUAAUUA